AAGAGGCAAAGCCAGCAUGAGGGAGGCAGUGUUGCCGAGGGGUUAGGACUGACCUGGGUUUGAGCCUGGCUCUCCCUCUUACGGUCUAACGUUCCUCUCUGUGCCUCCGUUUUCUCAUCUGUGAAAUGGGAAUGACAAUACCCAUACUGUGCUCAUAGAGCUUGAGAGACGAGCCAAUGAAAGAAUGUGUGUUAAGCAGUUAGAGUGCUUGGCAUAUUGUUAAUGGGCAAUAAACGCUCCGAUCUGUGAUUAAGGACUCACCAGGGCUUUAUAAGAACAAUAUUCAACUUCUGGGGCCAGACCUCCUCCUGUUAUGAAGGAAAACAAUAUCCACUUCCUUCACAGUAUCACAUUUACUCCUCACAACCAGAAGCUGCACGCCCGCCUCGGCACACACGAGAUACCGCACACGCCUGAUGUCAAUAUCUACUCUCUGAGUUUUGCCUCUCUUUCCUUCAGCUUUUUCACUUGCCUUCUCUCGUUUGCCACCAUCUAAUCUGUUUGGAGAAAAUAGCAGUGAGCAGCUGAACCUCGGGGACCAGGGAGGGGGCGUCCUGAUGUGGAUUCCUCACAUGGCCUGAGACAGGCCCUGGAGCUGGGCAGCCAUUUCUGCCCCUCUGAAGUGACCCGAAGUCCAUAUUGUGAAUUCAGUGCCUUCGUGGUGACACUUUUCAUCUGAUUUGGGAAAUGAGUUCUGCUAACUGUGUCUGGUUUGCAGUCCUGGCAAGAAGCGGGAGGAAGAUGGAGAUGUCUGCCAUGUUCGACAGAUGCUUUGAAACCUAAGGGCACAAAAGCAAAACUGAUACAACCCUCUCUUCCCUGAAUUUACACAACUCCAAAAGCAGAAGCCCGCGUGGAACCAGCAGCUCCUGUUCUGCAAAGUGUCAUUAUGUCUCCUCUGAGGCUGAAAAUAAUCUGUCCCAUUUACAGAACCAUAGAGGCAGGGAGGCAGCCGUGAGGAGGCAGCUUUGCAGUCGGCCUGAACUGACCAUGAAUGCCAGCUCGUCACCGACUGGCUGUGUGUCCUUCAGCAGGUCAUUUCACUUCUCUGAGAAAUGAGGACAAUGACACAUCCUUUUCUCAUAGGCUGGAGGUGGGGAUUAAAUGAGACGAUGUAUUUAGAGGGGCUAAUGAUGUCGCAUCAGAGCCCUGGGUCCUGUGGGAUUCUCCAAGCUGGUGGCUUUAACCUUUCGAGACUAUGGAGGACAGAGACCUCUUUGAGAGUCCACAAAAGCUGCUGAGAAUGUCAUUCUCAGCAUUUUCACAUUCUCCUUCCCCAAAUGUACACACACACGUCAAAAACUUCCUCUGGGCCCAGAUUAAGAACUCAUGCUGGGAUCCACCCUUCUGUUUUUAGAGUUGAAAAACUGAGGCUUUCCAUCAAGAUGACCUUUGAAUAAAGUGCAUCGGAUCCCUUGA